ACCUCCUCGUCCUGAGGUCUGUGGGGGCGAAGAUCUAAGCCGCCUCCCCCGAGGGGGCCGGAGGAGGCUGAACGAGAACAGUUGACAGAUGUGAACAAGGGCUUUCACAGACCAUGAAGUAACUCCGCGUCGUUUUCCCUGACGAGACUCUUCUCAGUCCCCGGAUGAUAAGCAAAAUUUUGAUAACGGACGCAAUGCAUCGUGUCACUCUUCAAGUCAGAUCCAAUGCACGGGAUGCAAGUCCACCAGCCUCUCCCGGAUGGACACUCCCUACAUGAGCACUGAAGCCUCCAUUCACUGGCAGUUUGCGACUCUCUAUAUUUCCUGUUCGACAUCACCACGUGGGGAUGAAAGACAACUGUACAUACUCAGAUAAAC